GAAGGAAAUUAAGUACGGAAGUUCCUGAUUUCACGCUGUCAAGAAAAGCCUCUAGGAAGAGUAGUACUGCCCGUACCGCAAACCGACACAGGUAGAUGAGGAGAGAAUCCUAAGGUGAGCGAGAGAACUCUCGUUAAGGAACUCGGCAAAAUGACCCCGUAACUUCGGGAGAAGGGGUGCUCUAUUAGGGUGCAAGCCCGAGAGAGCCGCAGUGAAUAGGCCCAGGCGACUGUUUAGCAAAAACACAGGUCUCUGCAAAACCGUAAGGUGACGUAUAGGGGCUGACGCCUGCCCGGUGCUGGAAGGUUAAGAGGAGUGCUUAGCUUCGGCGAAGGUACGAAUUGAAGCCCCAGUAAACGGCGGCCGUAACUAUAACGGUCCUAAGGUAGCGAAAUUCCUUGUCGGGUAAGUUCCGACCCGCACGAAAGGCGCAACGAUCUGGGCACUGUCUCAACGAGAGACUCGGUGAAAUUAUAGUACCUGUGAAGAUGCAGGUUACCCGCGACAGGACGGAAAGACCCCGUGGAGCUUUACUGCAACCUGAUAUGGAAUGUUUGUACCGCUUGUACAGGAUAGGUAGGAGCCGAAGAGACGUGUGCGCUAGCAUACGAGGAGGCAAUGGUGGGAUACUACCCUGGCUGUAUGACCAUUCUAACCCGCCACGCUUAGCGCGUGGGGAGACAGUGUCAGGUGGGCAGUUUGACUGGGGCGGUCGCCUCCUAAAGAGUAACGGAGGCGCCCAAAGGUUCCCUCAGAAUGGAUGGAAAUCAUUCGCAGAGUGUAAAGGCACAAGGGAGCUUGACUGCGAGACUGACAAGUCGAGCAGGGACGAAAGUCGGGCUUAGUGAUCCGGUGGUUCCGCAUGGAAGGGCCAUCGCUCAACGGAUAAAAGCUACCCCGGGGAUAACAGGCUUAUCUCCCCCAAGAGUCCACAUCGACGGGGAGGUUUGGCACCUC
rnacentral:rRNA from 1 species